AGUUUUUGUUAUUAUUGUUUUGUAUUUAAUGAUGCCCCACCAUACAAACUUUGGUUGAUUGGCUAGGGAGAAAUUAAAAGACUUAAAAGGGUUUUUGAGAGUUGUCAAAAUAUUGUAGACAUAGCUUCCUACUUUCUUUAUAUGGGACCAGGCAUAAUGGCUUCACCCAAACUAUUGUGGGGUUGUUGAGUAGGUUGUUGAGUACGUAGAGUUAGACUGAGCCAGUUCUCCUAGAACACCUGUUUUGAGCUUUAUAUCUGAAGUUACAACACUUCCCACUGUAGGCAGGAAUCCACAGGAUCAUUAAAAUUCUGUGUGAGAAUCCUACCCUUUCAGAGUUUCUUUGUUCUCAGAGUUUCUUUGUACACAUAUCACAUGGCCUUUGCUGUGAGGAAGCUGGAGAGCCAGAGUCAAACCCCAGUCCACAAGCGGGAAGUAGCAUCUGCUAUGGAGAAAGCGCAUGAGGAUGCAGGCAUCUUGAGCUGCCUUCGAUCAACAUCUGACAAACGUGAAGGAGAAGAUACCACAGGGGACUUCCUUAGCUUGCCUGGCAUCUCUUCAAAAAUCACCUUUUCUCAUUCCUGGGUUGUAUGCAGGCUCAAGAACCUUUGCAGAAGAAGGUGGUGGUGGAAAGAAUGAGUCAGAGGAAGAGGUGGAAAUGCACAUCCUUUGAGCCAAACAACUGCCAUCUUGAGGCCAUUGUGGAGAGGCUAGAGAAUAUAAACUGUGGAAGACUGGAGGAUGAGUGUUCCAUGUAUGCAACUAUGGGGAAUCCCUCAAGCCCUUCUGAGUAAAGACUUUCCAGGGAGAGCACAGUGAAAUAUGGUUUUUCCUCUUCUCCUGUAAUCUGUCAAAGGGCAGAGGUGCUUCUGGGUCUUGGAAACCUAGAGAAUCCACCACAUGGGCAGGAGUUUCACCAAAGAAGCUGUCUGUUGGCAAGGAAGGACUCUCUGAUCCAUUCAAGAGAACAGGGUACAAAGAUUUGGAUCAAGUCAGCCCAAAGUUGUCUGGACUUUGGCAGAAUUACAAAGUCCUUAUGAAGCAAGUCAGUCCUGGACACAGAGGAGACAAGGAUACAAGAAGAAACCACUCCCUAAAGCACCUGACUUGUUCUUUUUCAAAACUAGAAUAAAGGGCAAAUAAGAUAGGAGCUGAAGAGAUAAUUUAUCUAACAAAGCACUUGCAUUAAAAUCGCAAUGACCUGAUGAGUUUGAGUCUCAGAUCCCACUUAAAACUCCAAGGCAGUGUAGCACAUGUUUUCGAUCCCAGAUGGAAACAGUAAGACCAGGUGAUCUAGCCUAAUUGGUGAGCUCCAGGCCAAUGACAUGAUUCAAUAGUGUACCUGAAGCUGGCACCCAAGGCUGUCCCCUGGCUUCUCUGUAAGUGUGCACACACAACCAUGCAUGCACACAUAGCACACACACACACACACACACACACACGUAACAAUUUCUUCUGAGUUGGAACUUCCCACCCUGGGAUGAGAGUUGUUAAAGCUCAGGACAUUUUAAUUUGAAACAUUCCAUUCUGGAAGCUCCAUUAAUGAGUCUUAAGACUCAAGAAGAUCAUAACUUACAAGUCUCAGGGAGACCCUAGAAUUGACAUGAUUCACAGAACUGCUCCUUCCCUGAGGUUAUAAAAACAGUAAUGACUUCUGAAGAAAGGAGAUUCUGCACAGCCUUGCUGCCUGGAGAAGAGACUCCCCAACCCGUCUGACGGCUUGCAAGUUGUGUAGAAUUCAGGGUUGCAGCUUUCAUGAUUCCUACCGUAGGCUGGAUGAACCGCUCUGUGAUGCAGCCGCUUGUUCUGUUAGCAACUCUUCAUACAUGUCCCUGAGCAGCCUUACCAGGCUACAGAAGAAGACAAUGCAGCCAUUCCUGAUGAGACCUGAUAGACUAGAAUCAGAAGGAAAAAGAAGACCUCUAUCAGUGGACUUGGGGAGGGGCAUGCAUGCAAAGGGUGGAGGAAGGGAGGGAUUGGGACGGGAGGAGGGAGGGAACCACAGGGGGGAUACAAAGUGAAUAAAGUGUAAUUAAUAAAGAAUAAAAAAAAACAUGACAAAAAAAAAAAAAAAAAAAAAGAAAGAAAUCCUCCCUCUCGGUCAGUGGUUCUCAACCUUCCUGAUACUGUGACCCUUAAUACAGUUUCUCAUCUUAAGGCAACCCCACCCUCCCCAACUAUAAAAUAAUUUUGUUGCUACUUCAUAACUGUAAUUUUGCUACUGUUGUGAAUUGUAAUGUUAAUAUCUGAUAUGCAGGACAUCUAAUAUUUGACCCUCAAAGGAGUGGUGACCCACAGGUUGAGAACCCACCUUAGCCCUGAGCACUAUUUCCCAGUUGAUAGAACUCAUUCUUACGACAAGGCUCUCAGGCCCUUUGCCGAAGCAAGGUGUUUUGCCAGGGAAGGUUGGUGUAGCCAUCCCGGAAGCUUUGUUAUGAGAACUGUCACACGGAGACCUUUCCCCCCAAAGUUUUACUCUGAUGUGUAAGAAAAUUAAACCACAGGAUCAGAUUCUCUAGAUUCUAGAGUCUGGAAGUUUUGAUCUAGUGUGAUUAAUUCUGGCUCUACAGAGUUUUCAUUCUCCCUUCUUUGUGGUUCUUUUCCCGGUGAGCUCUGAUACCUGCAGGUAGGGGUCCUCCAACAAGCUGAGGAAGCAUUUUCACAUGCAGGGAGUACAUACACUUAAAAUUGCUUAGUAACUGAGUUUGCCCCAAGCAGCUGACACUGACCGUGUCUAGCUCCUUGUUGCCAGCUCCAGAAGGCAUCAUGAUCCAGGCACUGCCACCUGUGCCUGUGCGAGGAAGGAUGCUGGUUUCUUUUGGUAAGGUCUGGUGGCUUGAGCUGUAACGGGGAGAAUGUGAGGCUGUAAUGAUGAGCAUUUCCUUCUUGACAUUUUACAAGGACAUACCAAGGAUGGUGUGGAGAAAUAACACACAGAGCUAUGUUCUUUGGAGGAAAUAUUUUAUUAGAUCACAGAAUUUUUCAGUGACAUCUGUACUUAUCAGAAAUGGCACUUUUGAUCUUAACUGU